ACUACGGGCGGCAGCAGUGGGGAAUAUUGGGCAAUGGGCGCAAGCCUGACCCAGCAACGCCGCGUGAAGGAAGAAGGCUUUCGGGUUGUAAACUUCUUUUCUCAGGGACGAAGAAAGUGACGGUACCUGAGGAAUAAGCCACGGCUAACUACGUGCCAGCAGCCGCGGUAAUACGUAGGUGGCAAGCGUUAUCCGGAUUUACUGGGUGUAAAGGGCGUGUAGGCGGGAAAGCAAGUCAGAUGUGAAAACCAUGGGCUCAACCUGUGGCCUGCAUUUGAAACUGUUUUUCUUGAGUACUGGAGAGGCAGACGGAAUUCCUAGUGUAGCGGUGAAAUGCGUAGAUAUUAGGAGGAACACCAGUGGCGAAGGCGGUCUGCUGGACAGCAACUGACGCUGAGGCGCGAAAGCGUGGGGAGCAAACAGGAUUAGAUACCCCAGUAGUC
rnacentral:rRNA from 1 species